rfam:Oryza sativa Japonica Group DNA, chromosome 8, cultivar: Nipponbare, complete sequence.
ACUCCUUCCCCCUCUCCUUUUUCUUGUCUAACUUUAAUUAUCUAUCUUAUUUAAUUUUUUUAUGAUAAAUAUUUUUAUUGUUAUGAAAUGGUAAACACUAAAAAUACUUUAUACGUAACUUAAGUUUAUUGUUUUUAAAAAAGAUAAUCUAAAUAAGAUAAACAAUUAAAGUUAAAAAAAACUUGAGGUUGUGUUUAAA